ensembl:lincRNA
AAGCAGAAUAGCUUAAGGGGAAUAGGACCUUAUUGUAUCACAUUUCAGGAAUGAGCAGUGGGGAAACAGGAGCCAAGCCUGGAAAUGAAAAUGUCCUUGUAAAUGACCAAGAGAAGAUAGGAAUUAAAAUACACAGCUGUUAUGGUGCCAGAAAAUUGUCUGCCCUCUUUGAACAAACUGUCUCUCACAGCUGAUAUCUUUACUGGAAAACUCAGCCCCAAGUUUCUCAGCUGUUGUGAUCCAAAUCAGCAAGAUCUAAGCCGUAACGCACCCUCCAGUCAUUGGAACCUGGGAUUCAUCUGGCAACUGCGUGCCCUGGAUCAAAGCCAUGACCAACCACCCCAUCUUCAUGACUGAGCUGUUAUUGUCUUUGUUUCUUGAUUUGUGCCCAGGGUUCUCUCUUGGGUGUGAAGUUUUGCUUUCAAUGCUAAACCACUUCUCUUAGGUUCGGAGAGUUCACCUUGCUUUUGCCAGUACCUGUUCUUGAGGGAUGAACACUGAUCUCUCUGUAAGCACCAUUGCUGAGCAGAGUUCUAUCCCCACUCGGCCACCCCUUCACUUGCUUACUGUCUUCUGCCUUGUCUCACUGACCCCAUCAGGGACACUUGGCUACUGAUGCCAUAGGUCAAAGCUGAGCACACCAUUUACCAUUUGGAUGACUGGCCAAAGAUUCUUCAUGGUCCACCUUUGGCCUUAACUGUGCCCUGGCCUCUUCUCUCUAACUGAAGUCUCUGUGUGAAUUGGAGCUGAAAUGCCUGAGACACAAAAACUUGAGGAAGACAAACUCUAGAACCCUUUUUUUGCUAGUUGUCAGUACCAUUCCUUUCCCAUUACGGAUAGCAUCCAGUGUCACGAUCUCUCAAAGUACUUCCUAAAUCAGGGCUAAUAUUUCCCUGUCCAUGUCAUUAUUCCCCCAAAGUUUCAAGCCCAACUAUCUCAUCAGUUUAAAGCAAAGAAUUUUCAAGCUCCUCAUUUCUACAUAGCCUCAAUCUUCUCAAUCAUGCACCUCUAGUUUGAAAAGCCAGAAGUUUAGAAAAGAAGUUAGAGGAAUGAGAGACCUGUAUAAAUAAUAUUGAAAGUGCUAGCCUUGAGUUAAUUAGCUGUAAAAUGUACUUAGCUGAAACAUAUAGUAAGAUGAAAAGGAUGCAACCUAGGAAGCAUCCAAAGAGUUGAAAGUAACACAUUAUUUGUUCUUCUGAUUUUUAAAGUCAUUGAAUUGCCUGCAGUAAAUGCCUGUUGUCUUUUCUUGCUAAGGAUGCUGUCUUCUGGUGAUAAGACUCCUCUGCUUUUCUUCAUUCUCUUCCCAAGCUCUGUUAAUGCAGCACCCCUGACUACAAUGGUGGCAUGUGGGCCAGGCCUUGCUAAUCAGAACACUCCGUUCCCCCACGUGGGGUUAUUUCAGAGAUGAGCAAACAACUUAAACACAACAAAUCAGAGGCAACCCCUUUUGGGGUAAUAAUACUAUCAUUAUGGACUCUGGCAACCUUCGUUUGCUGAGAAUCAUUUUGUCCACCAUGCAUAGAAGACCUGCUACCGUGGAGGAGAGCAAGGUCUCAGGAUGCAACAGAACAUAUUUCUGAUGACACCACUUGACCUAGCCAUGCCUGAAGCUCCAUGUCUCAUGAACUAGUC